CACGCAUCUUGCCCCCAUCCCUCUCUCUCUCACUGUCCCCCAACUCUCUCUCUCUCUGAACUCCGGCUAUCGACCCCUCUGCCUCCGCUUCUGUCUCUGUCUCCUUCUCCGAUCGUCAUCGUCCUCGCCUCCAGUAGUCGUCGCCGCGUUCUGUUGUUCGAUUCUCUCACACCGCUCCGCUUUGGCAACUCAGAGAUCAUCUUCCCAAGGAACAAAUGAUGCAGUUGAAGCGAGAUAAUCCUCCAGAUAAAAUGAUUGAUAAGAAUAUCUUAGAAAAGGUUCUUGGACGACAAUUUGUUCGCUUGUUUGGUUAGGAGCGAUCUCCUAGUACUUUCGGGACAACAUGCACUAGUGAGGAGUCUAGUCGUCCAACAUACAAACAAUUGGUUAAUGAUUUGAACCAGUACAAGUCUCUUUUUCAAGAGCUCCAGAGAGACGUGAACAUGUUACGGCAAGUAUUGAUUGAAAAAAAUAUUAUGCCUCAUCCGUCUACUGCACAUGUACCAUCUGAUCAUAGUUCAGGACGAUAUCGCCUCAAUCCAUCUCGUCUUAACCCAUCCAGCUCUAGCCCUUCCCUCCAUUCUACUGAAGAGGAGUUUGGCGACGAGAUUUAAUAAUUUGUUUUAUGCUUUUUUUUCAAGAAUGUUUGAACUUUUUAGGUGACUAUGAUUUUAUGCUUAUUUUGUGACUUUAUAACUUUUUAUGUGCGUAUAUGUUUGAUCUAAAUUGUAAUAGAUGACUUUUUAUUUUGUGACU